AUUGAACGCUGGCGGCAUGCCUUACACAUGCAAGCCGAACGGCAGCAUGGAAGAGCUUGCUCUUCUGAUGGCGAGUGGCGAACGGGUGAGUAAAGCAUCGGAACGUACCGUGUAGUGGGGGAUAACGUAGCGAAAGUUACGCUAAUACCGCAUACGCACUGAGGUGGAAAGCAGGGGAUCGCAAGACCUUGCGCUAUACGAGCGGCCGAUGUCAGAUUAGCUAGUUGGUAGGGUAAAGGCCUACCAAGGCGACGAUCUGUAGCGGGUCUGAGAGGAUGAUCCGCCACACUGGGACUGAGACACGGCCCAGACUCCUACGGGAGGCAGCAGUGGGGAAUUUUGGACAAUGGGCGAAAGCCUGAUCCAGCCAUGCCGCGUGAGUGAAGAAGGCCUCGGUUGUAAGCGUCUUUAUUCUUGUGUAAGAUAAUAGACGGUAACGAGA
rnacentral:rRNA from 1 species